rnacentral:rRNA from 1 species
AGAGUUUGAUCCUGGCUCAGGACGAACGCUGGCGGCGUGCGUAAUACAUGCAAGUCGAGCGAGCUUGCCUAGAUGAUUUUAGUGCUUGCACUAAAUGAAACUAGAUACAAGCGAGCGGCGGACGGGUGAGUAACACGUGGGUAACCUGCCCAAGAGACUGGGAUAACACCUGGAAACAGAUGCUAAUACCGGAUAGCAACACUAGACGCAUGUCUAGAGUUUGAAAGAUGGUUCUGCUAUCACUCUUGGAUGGACCUGCGGUGCAUUAGCUAGUUGGUAAGGUAACGGCUUACCAAGGCAAUGAUGCAUAGCCGAGUUGAGAGACUGAUCGGCCACAUUGGGACUGAGACACGGCCCAAACUCCUACGGGAGGCAGCAGUAGGGAAUCUUCCACAAUGGACGAAAGUCUGAUGGAGCAACGCCGCGUGAGUGAAGAAGGGUUUCGGCUCGUAAAGCUCUGUUGGUAGUGAAGAAAGAUAGAGGUAGUAACUGGCCUUUAUUUGACGGUAAUUACUUAGAAAGUCACGGCUAACUACGUGCCAGCAGCCGCGGUAAUACGUAGGUGGCAAGCGUUGUCCGGAUUUAUUGGGCGUAAAGCGAGUGCAGGCGGUUCAAUAAGUCUGAUGUGAAAGCCUUCGGCUCAACCGGAGAAUUGCAUCAGAAACUGUUGAACUUGAGUGCAGAAGAGGAGAGUGGAACUCCAUGUGUAGCGGUGGAAUGCGUAGAUAUAUGGAAGAACACCAGUGGCGAAGGCGGCUCUCUGGUCUGCAACUGACGCUGAGGCUCGAAAGCAUGGGUAGCGAACAGGAUUAGAUACCCUGGUAGUCCAUGCCGUAAACGAUGAGUGCUAAGUGUUGGGAGGUUUCCGCCUCUCAGUGCUGCAGCU